rnacentral:rRNA from 1 species
UACGUAGGGUGCAAGCGUUAAUCGGAAUUACUGGGCGUAAAGCGUGCGCAGGCGGCUUUGCAAGACAGAUGUGAAAUCCCCGGGCUCAACCUGGGAACUGCAUUUGUGACUGCAUGGCUAGAGUGCGGCAGAGGGGGAUGGAAUUCCGCGUGUAGCAGUGAAAUGCGUAGAUAUGCGGAGGAACACCGAUGGCGAAGGCAAUCCCCUGGGCCUGCACUGACGCUCAUGCAUGAAAGCGUGGGGAGCAAACAGG